rnacentral:tRNA from 1 species
AAGCCCUGUGGUGUAUAACACACUGAAUUGCAAGUUCAGAGAAGCAGCUUCAACCCUGCCGGGGCUUC